rfam:Schistosoma curassoni strain Dakar, Senegal genome assembly, scaffold: SCTD_contig0000308
AGCUUUCAUGAUCCGAGAUGAGAUUUCGUCAGACACCAGCCCAUCAGGACUGAUGAGAUUCCCAAUUUAAGUGAAGCA